rnacentral:rRNA from 1 species
AGAAUCAACGCUGGCGGCGUGCCUAACACAUGCAAGUCGAACGAGAAAGGGUAGCAAUACCUGAGUAAAGUGGCGCACGGGUGAGUAACACGUGACUAACCUACCCUGGAGUGGGGGAUAACUGAGGGAAACCUUAGCUAAUACCGCAUAAUACCUACGGGUCAAAGGAGCAAUUCGCUUCAGGAGGGGGUCGCGGCCGAUUAGUUAGUUGGCGGGGUAAUGGCCCACCAAGACGAUGAUCGGUAUCCGGCCUGAGAGGGCGCACGGACACACUGGAACUGAAACACGGUCCAGACUCCUACGGGAGGCAGCAGUGGGGAAUUUGCGCAAUGGGGGAAACCCUGACGCAGCAACGCCGCGUGGAGGAUGAAGUCCUUCGGGACGUAAACUCCUUUCGAUCGGGACGAUUAUGACGGUACCGGAAGAAGAAGCCCCGGCUAACUUCGCGCCAGCAGCCGC